rnacentral:rRNA from 1 species
UACGUAGGUGGCAAGCGUUGUCCGGAAUUAUUGGGCGUAAAGCGCGCGCAGGCGAUCCUUUAAGUCUGAUGUGAAAGCCCACGGCUCAACCGUGGAGGGUCAUUGGAAACUGGGGGACUUGAGUACAGAAGAGAAGAGUGGAAUUCCACGUGUAGCGGUGAAAUGCGUAGAGAUGUGGAGGAACACCAGUGGCGAAGGCGACUCUUUGGUCUGUAACUGACGCUGAGGCGCGAAAGCGUGGGGAGCAAACAGG